rnacentral:rRNA from 1 species
GUUGUCGUCAGCUCGUGUCGUGAGAUGUUGGGUUAAGUCCCGUAACGAGCGCAACCCUUGUCCUUAGUUACCAGCACGUAAUGGUGGGCACUCUAAGGAGACUGCCGGUGACAAACCGGAGGAAGGUGGGGAUGACGUCAAGUCAUCAUGGCCCUUACGGCCUGGGCUACACACGUGCUACAAUGGUCGGUACAAAGGGUUGCCAAGCCGCGAGGUGGAGCUAAUCCCAUAAAACCGAUCGUAGUCCGGAUCGCAGUCUGCAACUCGACUGCGUGAAGUCGGAAUCGCUAGUAAUCGUGAAUCAGAAUGUCACGGUCGAAUACGUUCCCGGGCCUU